rnacentral:rRNA from 1 species
GGAUUAGAUACCCUGGUAGUCCACGCCGUAAACGAUGUGUGCUAGUUGUCGGACCCUUAGGGUUCGGUGACGGAGCGAAAGUAUUAAGCACACCGCCUGGGGAGUACGGCCGCAAGGUUAAAACUCAAAGGAAUUGACGGGGACCCGCACAAGCGGUGGAGCAUGUUGUUUAAUUCGAAGCAACGCGAAGAACCUUACCCACACUUGACAUCCUUCUUGGGACUUUCAGAGAUGAUUGUCUUCGGUUCGGCCGGGGAAGUGACAGGUGCUGCAUGGCUGUCGUCAGCUCGUGCCG